AUUGAACGCUGGCGGCAUGCUUUACACAUGCAAGUCGAACGGUAACAGGCCGCAAGGUGCUGACGAGUGGCGAACGGGUGUGUAAUGCAUCGGAACGUGCCCAGUCGUGGGGGAUAACUACUCGAAAGAGUAGCUAAUACCGCAUACGAUCUAUGGAUGAAAGCGGGGGACCGUAAGGCCUCGCGCGAUUGGAGCGGCCGAUGUCAGAUUAGGGAGUUGGUGGGGUAAAGGCUCACCAAGCCAACGAGCUUUAGCUGGUCUGAGAGGCCGACAAGCCGCACUGGGACUGAGACACGGCCCAGACUCCUACGGGAGGCACCGGUGCGGAAUUUUGGACAAUGGGCGCAAGCCUGGUCCAGCAAUGCCGCGUGAAGGAAGAAGGCCUUCGGGUUGUAAACUGCUUUUGUACGGAACGAAACGGCUCUGGUUAAUACCCGUGGAUAAUGACGGUACCGUAAGAAUAAGCACCGGCUAACUACGUG
rnacentral:rRNA from 1 species